GACAGACAGGUAGACCGACAGGUAGAGUUGAGUGACAAGGAGUACAGUGACAGGUACACCGACAGGUAGAGUACAGUGAGAAGGAGUAUAGUGACAGGUAGACAGACAGGUAGAGUAGAGUGACAAGGAGUACAGUGACAGGUAGACAGACAGGUAGAGUAGAGUGACAAGGAGUACAGUGACAGGUUGACAGACAGGUAGAGUAGAGCGACAAGGAGUACAGUU